rnacentral:rRNA from 1 species
CAGUCGCCGCGGGAAUACGUAGGGUGCAAGCGUUAAUCGGAAUUACUGGGCGUAAAGCGUGCGCAGGCGGUUCGUUAAGACAGAUGUGAAAUCCCCGGGCUUAACCUGGGAACUGCAUUUGUGACUGGCGGGCUAGAGUAUGGCAGAGGGGGGUAGAAUUCCGCGUGUAGCAGUGAAAUGCGUAGAGAUGUGGAGGAAUACCGAUGGCGAAGGCAGCCCCCUGGGCCAAUACUGACGCUCAUGCACGAAAGCGUGGGGAGCAAACAGGAUUAGAUACCCGUGUAGUCCCUGUCUCUUAUAC